rnacentral:piRNA from 1 species
UUCAAACGUUUGCCCUUGCCUACUGUUUGC